GUUUGGUCAUGCCGAUGUUGAUGACGUUGGAUCGCUUGGGGUCCAGGACGAUGAGCUCCUUGAUGCCCUUCUGCUCUUGUUGCUUCUGUGGUGGUGGUGGUGGUGAGGACGGGUGGAAAGGUAGAGAAAUAUUAGGUUAGGUUAGGUUAGGUUAGGUUAGGUUAGGUUAUAUAUUUUUUUUCCUGUUAUUUUCCUUUCUAAGAGUUCUGUUUAAUGCAUAUGAAAGUUUAGUUAAGUCUUUUUUUUCAUUAUUUUUCUUUUCUUUCUUUUCUAUUACUGUUUGAUGUAUAUAAAUGAAAAUGAUUAGGUUAGGUUAGGUUAGGUUAGGUCUAUUUAUUUUCCUGUUUUCUUUUCUUUAUAUUUUUUUUUAUAUUGUCUGAUGUAUAUAUAUGAAAAAAGGUUAGGUUAGGCUAGGUUAGGUUAGGUCUAUUUAUUUUCCUGUUUUUUUCCUUCAUUUUUUUCUCAUAUUGUCUGAUGUAUAUAUAUAUGAAGAGAGAUUAGGUUAGGUUAGGUUAGGUUAGGUCUAUUUAUUUUCCUGUUUUUUUCCUUCAUUUUUUUCUCAUAUUGUCUGAUGUAUAUAUAUAUGAAGAGAGAUUAGGUUA